AAAAAGUAAGUCUCAGUUCGGAUUGAAGGCUGAAAUUCGCCUUCAUGAAGCCGGAAUUGCUAGUAAUGGCAGGUCAGCAUACUGCCGUGAAUACGUUCCCGGGCCUUGUACACACCGCCCGUCACACCAUGAGAGUUGGAGAUACCCGAAGCCUGUGAGCUAACAAGCGAGGCAGCAGUCGAAGGUAGAAUCAAUGAUUGGGGUGAAGUCGUAACAAGGUAAC
rnacentral:rRNA from 1 species